AGUACCUCGAGCUUGCGCACUGCAAUUCCCUGUCAUCCCUACCGGAUGUGCCGCAAGCAUACUCAUCUCUCCAAUAUCUUCGCAUUAUAGACUGCCCUGGUAUGAAGACCCUCCCUGCAAGCCUACAGCAAUGCCUUGGGAGCAUCCAGCAGGAAUACAUAGAUGCCCGUCUUUAUGAAAAUAAGCCUAUGCUGGUGAAGCCGAAGACAUGGAAGUAUGUCUGCAAAGGUUGAACUACCGUUUCCAAAGACUUGGAAGAGAUGUUGUCUGCAAAGAAUUAUUCGAGCACAUACAGACGGACGGAAAACAGAGACACAUGGAGUAGAAGUAUUGUCCUGCAAGACCUGCCAUGAUCAGAAACUGUUUGUUGCCAUGUCGUUUGUGACACCGUUGCCAGGAUUAGACACCUACAGGAAGCUUUCGAACACUAUUGUCUAUCAUUAACUUGAUCUUGUUUGAAUAAUUAGCAUGCGUAUUUCAACUUCUAUUCGCCUACGGGCUGUUAUAUCGUUGUAUUUGUUUUUCAAAAUUCUGGCCUAGCACUGUCAGUUUGUCGUCAAAAUUCUGUUAGUAUUUCCAU